CAGUAGCCGCGGGAAUACGUAGGUGGCAAGCGUUGCCCGGAAUUAUUGGGCGUAAAGGGCUCGCAGGCGGUUUCUUAAGUCUGAUGUGAAAGCCCCCGGCUCAACCGGGGAGGGUCAUUGGAAACUGGGAAACUUGAGUGCAGAAGAGGAGAGUGGAAUUCCACGUGUAGCGGUGAAAUGCGUAGAGAUGUGGAGGAACACCAGUGGCGAAGGCGACUCUCUGGUCUGUAACUGACGCUGAGGAGCGAAAGCGUGGGGAGCGAACAGGAUUAGAUACCCGAGUAGUCCCUGUCUCUUAUAC
rnacentral:rRNA from 1 species